rnacentral:rRNA from 1 species
GGAUCAAUUAAUCGGUCGUACCUAUGGUACGUACUGAUUUUAUUGGUUUCUCCCUUCUGACGAACCAUGAUGUCAUUAAUUUGGUGUCGUGGAGAAUCAGGACUGUUACUUUGGUAAAAAAAUUAGAGUGUUUAAAGCAGGCUAAUGCUUGAAUACAUUAGCAUGGAAUAAUGAAAUAGGACGUUUGAUCCUAUUUUGUUGGUUUCUAGGAUCCACGUAAUG